UUUACAGUUUGAACACAUCACUGAUUUUCUAUUCAUAUCUCUCCCCCAUAAUACCAGUUUGUUAUCUGAUUCUUGUAGAUAAUUAAGUGGGCUACUGGUGAUAUCAAAUCUGAACUUCACUAACUUUGGAUAUAUACGAUGUAUCUACAGGUCACAUUCCCUCACUUAAAGCAUACUAUGAAGUGCUGCGUGGAAUAUCUGAGUGAGAACACCGGGACUGCUGCUUGUGACCGUAUUGCUGAGACGUUCCACCCAUUCACAGCGACACUUAUAAAUAGACAAUGUUUUUUCUUUGGGAGUCAUUGUAUGUGCUAACCUUAAUGGUGUUACUCUAAUAAUUAUGUACGAGCUUGUUAAUGAAGUGGGAAACAUUGAUUUUAGAAGCUUAGAAACUGUGGAGGAAGGUGCUUCAUAUGGAUCUUUCUACUUUUUGUAUCUUUUGUGUUUCUAUGAAAAAAUCUUUUAAUCUGUGAAAAGUAAGCCUCAGAAUUCAUGUCUAAGCAUUUUGUAGAAGGAUGCAUGUGAGAAAAAGCACCUGCACUGUCAUAGCGAUCCUUUGGUGUUUUAAGAUGAAAAAGUUCAAAGCAUUUUAGAGUAGUCAUAAGGAUGACAUUGUAUAAGUUAGGAACUGGGUUGUCCUGUCACUUUGUGGUGACAAAACUGGUGAAAGUGGUAUUAAAAUCAUUGCUGGAUAUGUUUG